UACGGGGGGGGCAAGCGUUGUUCGGAAUUACUGGGCGUAAAGGGCUCGUAGGCGGCCAACUAAGUCGGACGUGAAAUCCCUCGGCUUAACCGGGGAACUGCGUCCGAUACUGGAUGGCUUGAGUUCGGGAGAGGAUGCGGAAUUCCAGGUGUAGCGGUGAAAUGCGUAGAUAUCUGGAGGAACACCGGUGGCGAAGGCGGCAUCCUGGACCAACACUGACGCUGAGUGAGCGAAAGCCAGGGGAGCAAACGGGAUUCAGA
rnacentral:rRNA from 1 species